AAACAGUGACGGUAAUACCAGGACAUAGAAAUGAUCAUAUAACUCCUUUCCCGAGCUCAUUACAUUUCUAAAUCACCAUCUGAAAGGUAUGCAUCUCAAUUAUUGCAUCUCAGAUUUUGUUUUACUAACAAGCAAUAAACUAUCAAAGUAAACAUUCCCACUGAAAAGAAACCCCCACCAGUUGGUUUGACCCAACACCAUAAAAACCAGGAAAUUCUGAUUCUCUCUCAAACCAUUGACCUGCAUGGUGGCUCUGAACAAAGGAACAAACAAUUCUUGAGGAACGACGCUGCUUUGGUGUUUGGUUUGAAUUGUCCCCAAAGAUGAAAAGUCUGGGUCAACUCAGACUGACACACACCAAAGACUUUCGAGGAUAUAAGGAUGAGCUUGGAAACCGUCAUCUCCAUCACUUUUCAAAUCUUCUGAAGAGAGAGAGAGAGAGAGAGCGAGCGAAAGACCAAGAACCCUCUAUGGAAAAUGCUGAUUCAGCGUCUGAGUUGUGGGAAAUUGAUGAAUUUGCCCGCCAGCAGCUAGAUCUGGAACAAGCACAGCCGCAGCAGACAUACUCGGUUACAUCCGAGUAUGUUACAUCAAUCUUUUAUCCCCCGACCCGGACGAGAUUCCUGAGGUGUACGGGUUGA
rnacentral:lncRNA from 1 species